rnacentral:rRNA from 1 species
UACGUAGGGUGCAAGCGUUGCCCCGGAUUUAUUGGGCGUAAAGGGCGCGUAGGCGGCUCUGCACGUUCGUUGUGAAAUCGCCCGGCUCAACUGGGCGGGGUCAGCGGAUACGGCAGAGCUUGAGCAAGCUAGGGGGCAAUGGAAUUCCCGGUGUAGUGGUGGAAUGCGUAGAUAUCGGGGAGGAACACCAGUGGCGAAGGCGGUUGCCCUGGGGCUUUGCUGACGCUGAUGCGCGAAAGCGUGGGGAGCGAUCCGG